rnacentral:rRNA from 1 species
UACGGAGGGUGCAAGCGUUAUCCGGAUUUAUUGGGUUUAAAGGGCCCGUAGGCGGAUCUGUAAGUCAGUGGUGAAAUCUCAUAGCUUAACUAUGAAACUGCCAUUGAUACUGCAGGUCUUGAGUAAAGUAGAAGUGGCUGGAAUAAGUAGUGUAGCGGUGAAAUGCAUAGAUAUUACUUAGAACACCAAUUGCGAAGGCAGGUCACUAUGUUUUAACUGACGCUGAUGGACAAAAGCGCGGGGAGCGAACAGG